GCUGAGAGGGGACAGGGUGGUGAACACAGCAUCACUUGCAUUCCUGGGCAGUGGCAGGUUGCAGAUGGUGCCUUCGCAGCAGGAUGUGCAGAUCUGAAAGACAGCAGGACUGAACUCGGUUACCUGGCAAAUAUCACUGCCACCGAGCAAAGAUGGAGGGCAAAUAAUACAGCAUUUGGAGAUCAGCAUUGUGGCUACGGUUUUUUUUUUUUUUAAGUAGGGGGUUGGACUCUAUGAGCUCUAGAGGUCCCUUCCAACCCCUACAAUUCUGUGAUCUCAACCCCUUCCAGUUGUGCAGUAAUAAUGCAUCACCUAUUGCAAGGAGAACAUCCAUCCUGAAGGGCUGCUUUUCUCCUCCCCAAAAGAGUCAGCUGAUGGAUCAAGUUCCUUUGGAAUUGUUGCUGGAUGGACUACAAGUUGCAUACCCAAACCCUCCGCUGCCGUGGCUCUGGGGCUCUCUGCACAUCUCAGGAAGGAACCAGGGAUGUUCGGUGGGCACCAGCUGCCAUGCUGCGGGCACAGCCCUGCCUGGUUUCACACAAAGAAGCAACCCUGGUCCUCACCUUGUACUCCUCGUGCUUUACAUAUGUGCAUCCAGUAGACAGACAGUCCUCCAGGGGCACGCAGCGCUUGGUGACGGACACGCUCUCUCCAGUAACUCUCAUCAUGUGUUGGCUGAAGCAGUACCUCGUGCCUAGAAGGAAAGGAAAAUGUGUUCAUUUGACAAAGCCAAAGCUUGUGGUGGUGUACAAGCAAGAAGAAACAAGGGAGAAACCUUGCACUUCAAAAAAAAAAAA